AGCAGGACGGAAAGACCCCGGGACCUUCACUAUAGUUUGGUAUUGGUGAUCGGUUCGACUUGUGUAGGAUAGGUGGGAGACUGUGAAGCUGUCACGCUAGUGGUGGUGGAGUCGUUGGUGAAAUACCACUCUGGUCGUUCUGGUUAUCUAACGUUGGGCCAUGAUCUGGUUCACGGACAGUGCCUGAUGGGUAGUUUGACUGGGGCGGUCGCCUCCUAAAGGGUA
rnacentral:rRNA from 13 species